rnacentral:misc_RNA from 1 species
CAAAGAAGUCAGCAAAGAGGAAAAAAUGAUUUUUGUUGAUGAAGUGAUGGAGUUGGUAGAGCUGGACAAUCUCAAGGAUGCUAUAGUUGGGCUUCCAGGAGUUACAGGGUUGUCAACAGAACAGAGAAAGAGGUUGACAAUUGCAGUGGAGCUUGUUGCUAAUCCUUCAAUCAUUUUCAUGGAUGAACCAACUUCUGGUCUUGAUGCAAGGGCAGCAGCAAUUGUUAUGAGAACUGUGAGAAACACUGUGGAUACCGGAAGAACUGUUGUAUGCACAAUCCAUCAGCCUAGCAUCGACAUCUUUGAAGCCUUCGAUGAGUUGCUACUGAUGAAGAGAGGAGGACAAGUGAUAUAUUCAGGACCAUUGGGUCGAAAUUCCCACAAAAUCAUUGAAUACUUUGAGGAAAUCCCUGGAGUUCCUAAAAUCAAAGAGAAGUACAAUCCAGCAACAUGGAUGCUAGAAGUGAGCUCAAUAGCAGCUGAAGUCCGGCUAGGAAUUGACUUUGCAGAACACUACAAGUCAUCAUCCCUCUAUCAGAGAAACAAGGCUUUAGUGAACGAAUUGAGCACGCCACCAGCAGGAGCAGAAGACCUGUAUUUUGCCUCUCAAUAUUCUCAGUCUCCAUGGGGGCAGCUCAAGUCAUGCCUUUGGAAGCAGUGGUGGACUUACUGGAGAAGUCCUGAUUAUAACCUUGUUAGAUAUUUCUUCACCUUGGCUGCUGCCCUUAUGGUUGGGACUAUAUUCUGGAAAGUUGGCACUAAAAAGGAUACCUCAAAUGACCUGAGUAUGAUCAUUGGGGCCAUGUACGCUGCUGUCUUGUUUAUUGGUAUCAACAACUGCUCAACAGUACAGCCAAUUAUAUCAGUUGAAAGAACUGUCUUUUAUCGGGAAAGAGCAGCUGGGAUGUACUCUGCAUUACCUUAUGCACUUGCACAGGUUAUUUGUGAAAUACCUUAUGUGCUGGUUCAAACUACAUAUUAUACACUAAUUGUGUAUGCUAUGGUAGCCUUUGAAUGGACAGCAGCCAAAUUCUUCUGGUUCUUCUUUAUCUCCUUCUUCUCCUUCCUCUACUUCACAUACUACGGAAUGAUGACAGUCUCCGUCACGCCAAACCUCCAAGUAGCAUCCAUUUUUGCAGCAACAUUCUAUGCACUCUUCAAUCUCUUCUCAGGCUUCUUCAUUCCUCGACCAAGAAUUCCCAAGUGGUGGGUCUGGUACUAUUGGAUUUGCCCAGUGGCAUGGACAGUGUAUGGACUAAUUGUCUCUCAAUACCGGGAUGCUGAAGACCCCCUUCUAGUUCCUGGCUUAUCUCCUAAUCCUUCAAUUAAGUCUUACAUACAAGAUCAUUAUGGGUAUGAUCCAGACUUCAUGGGACCAGUUGCAGUUGUAUUGGUUGGAUUCACAGUCUUCUUUGCAUUUGUGUAUGCCUUCGCUCUAAGGACACUGAACUUCCAGACAAGAUAGAGAAACUACCAUAAAUUAAACUGAACCUGUAGAUAUAUACUAUUAUAAAUACAGGACAAUAAGCCAUCACAAGGUCAAAGUAUUGGUGGCUAUUGUUUAAUGCUUGUAUUUGUCUUGUAGGAAUUAUGUUAUUUUCGAUUUAAUUAUGUAUGGUAUGUUACUUAGUGAAGAUAAUGAUGAUAAUUUU